rnacentral:rRNA from 1 species
CCGGGGUGGAGGUAACGCGUGGAUAACCUGCCUCACACUGGGGGAUAACAGUUAGAAAUGACUGCUAAUACCGCAUAAGCGCACAGUACCGCAUGGUACAGUGUGAAAAACUCCGGUGGUGUGAGAUGGAUCCGCGUCUGAUUAGCCAGUUGGCGGGGUAACGGCCCACCAAAGCGACGAUCAGUAGCCGACCUGAGAGGGUGACCGGCCACAUUGGGACUGAGACACGGCCCAA